rnacentral:rRNA from 1 species
AUGCGAUACUUGGUGUGAAUUGCAGAAUCCCGUGAACCAUCGAGUCUUUGAACGCAAGUUGCGCCCGAAGCCUUCGGGCCGAGGGCACGCC